ACAUACAUAUUAUAAGAUACACCACUAUCCUACCCCUUGGACUUCUUUACUUACAACUUAAAACCAUUACAUUGCUCACCUAAUUAAGACUUAAAUAAGCUAAAUAAAACCAAACAGAGCGCAAUGCCUAACGUGAACUGCAGCACAAAACUUCAAUUCAACCCAUACAUUACAGGGAUAUACAUGCACACAAAUAAACUAAACAAAAAUUAUUACAACAAAGGCCAAAAGGUAACAUCCUCAGCUAUGUGGUAGCUCAUUUC
rnacentral:lncRNA from 1 species